rnacentral:tRNA from 4 species
GCCACCUUAGCUCAGUUGGUAGAGCUACUGAUUUGUAAUCAGUAGGUCGACGGUUCGAGUCCGUCAGGUGGCUCCA